CAAGGAGCACCAGCGUAAGCAAAGCAAAGCGCUCUGCUCGGGGAAAAGCGCCGAGUGUGCUCACCAGCAAAGAGGAAAAACAAAGAAAUCCGCUUAUGUAACCUACAAACUGCUGGAGACAGGAGGAGGAGGGACUACUAUGUUGUACGGCAGAGGGAUAUUGCCAAAACCAGCACAAAACACAACUUUCCUCCAGUUAUUUCAACACUUUGGUGCCUUUUUCAUCUUGAGAUGAGCAGAUGCAAGCUCCACACAUAUGGAUUUGAAACCUAAAUGGAACACAUUUUUAGCACCUUGGCCAAGAUUUACAAGUUUUCUUUCUGUUUCGAGCAUUUAUUUUUCAACUGCUGAGCUAGGAAGUUGCAUUUCCUCAUCCCUGAUACUCCUAGCAAGUAAUCCCAGGCUGCUUAAAGACACACACAAAUUUUAUUCACCCAGGUCAUCAAUGCACCAUUAAAAUAAAAAGUAGCAUUAGCUGCGUUUUGAGUUUCAUAAUCAGACCAAGAGAACUCCAAUGCAUAAGUUAUAUUUGUAUUUUGAGAGUUCGCCUCCAGGAGCUCAAAGCUUGCCCCUGUUGCUUGGGCUUGCACAUGAAGUGCCCUUGUAACAGAACACCUUAUUGCUCCAGGAAAGCCUUUGUUGAGAAGAUAAUUUUUCUGCUCAGUUUCUCACGUUUGGAACAAACCACUUUCCUCAGGAGGCUGGUUUGUCCAUCUGCUAGUGAGUGAGGGCUUUGCCAGCCUUUCUUCAGCCAGGUCUGCUCUCCCCAACCCAGGAACACCACUGAUAAUGACUGUCAUACAAGUACAUGCCAGAUUUUAAAUUCAGAUUGGAUCAGCAACAGAGCUUUCAAUAUUGACACAAACAAUACAGCAGGUUAGAAAACUGUAAGAGAAGUGGCUCCAAAAGAAUUUAAGAAGCAAUUGUUUUAGAUAAGCAUCUACCUAAAUUGUUACUCACCAUUGCAAGCAAAGAGAAUGGGUCACACAAGGAAAAGUAAGGGCAGAAAGGAGAGUCACUGCACUCAGAAAGAAGAAUUUUACACACAUGAAGGAAACUGGGGAUCCUAUUUCACUUCCAGAAGUAGCAACAUUUGAACAGGUAUAAAGAAGCCACCACUCCACAUUUCUAAAAUACAUAUUUAACUCCUCCUUUUUUAAAAAAAAAAGUAAUAUAUUAUUUGUUCCAUAUCUAUUUGAUUAGCUAGCAGAUAAGGGGAUUUGGAAGAGAUUAAACUGCUAGAAGGGGAAUAUCUCAUUAACCUAUUACCCUGGUUUCACAAGUGUUCUACGCCCAACUUUGCUUUCUCUAAAAGCAGAAACAUGCAAAUGGCACAAUGCAAGUAUUAGCUGAAAACUCAUCAACAGGAGGUGGAGCUAUGCCUUCCCUGUCACCAAAACAUGCCUAUGAACUUUAAAGAACAGUUAAUUAAAAAUUAAGGUUAGUUUUAUUAAUUUUCUCUAAAAGGCAGAUGAAGAGGCAUGGAGAACAAUUACUUAAAUGAAAAAAACAUUCUCAUUAAUGUGUUAUAAAAGUCAUACUACUAAGAUAAGAAGUUGCCAUCAUUUAGUAUAACCAGAAUAAUUACACAGACUAAACACAGUCCUUGCAGAGAAGGCUAGCUCUAUGAAACUAUGUUACCCCAAAUCAAAAUUAUUGGCUCAUAUAUGACUUCCUCACUCCAAUAAUUAAAAUUUUUCAUAAACAUCUCACACUCAUUUUUUGGCACUUACUUUUUUCCCACCUCCAAGUACUUCUCAGACUAAGCAAUACCAGCUUUCUGUCAGUACUUACCCCAUUUUGCAGACAAGGGGACUCAAACUGUGUACAUAACUGAUUUGAAUAUUCUUAGUGUGAUGAAGUUGAGGAGGUCACAUGAGUACUGUUAGGAAACCUGGAAAGCUGAACUAAGUAUUGAAGAGCUACAUGAGCAGUGUGUCACUGUGACAUAGAGCCCUCAAAACCAGAUUGGCUCAUGUGACAGUGAAUCACAGUCCAGCACUCAGUGUGGCUUUCUUUUGCUUCUCUGCUCCUUCCUGCAGACUCACUUCAGGCACAAAGUGCUUGGAAAGGUUUACUGCAGGUUGUGCAUCAGAGCAUGAUGCACAGUUUGUGUUAGCCAGUGAUGGAGAGGGAUUUUUGUCCCAGUCCAAGGAUCAGUAACCCACCUGCACCCUGACACAGAAUUCCAAAGGAGAACUUCUGAAUUUCAGUAUGGAAAUACCUCCCAACUUUCUUUUUCCAUGUGAGAGGUCUACAGACAUCUCAGUGAGUCCCAGAGAGGAAGGCUCCUUUCACAUAAAGGGCUCCCAUAAAGCAGUUGUGGUUGACUCACAAUGAUCUCCCCUUUCUCUUCGCCAUUACACCCCUGUACUUCAAAAUCACAGCAUUUGGGGCAUGAGCAGAUAUAAAAGCAUGCCAUGUCCUCAUACCCAAGGAGUUCCUGAGGUGCUGUUAAAUGUCCCUCUCACAAGUAGUCUGCAGAGGGGUUCAGCUUGGCUCCCAGCUAUUUUUAGGGAAAUGGGAUCAGCCACAGGACACCACAGAGCCGUGUCCCAAAGCGACCCUCACUUCUGUCAGACCUUCCACAUGCUGUCCUUUUCGUGACUCGUGGGAGAAGCUAAAAUCAGUAACAAGUGAUCUGGUGCAGAAGCCUGGAUGGCUUAAACAAAAUAUAUUAAAAAAACCCCAAAGCACACAGUUUAUCUAAAACUGCUGUCCUGUCAAAGAGCACCCUUCAAGCUUUGCCCCAGUGGAAGGAAGAAACAGCUGUAUCAUACCUCAAGAUUUGCAGGCAUAUAAUGAACAAAAGGAUGGGGGAAAUUUUACAUUAAGGAAGUGACCUACAGAAAUCAGUGAUCACCAGUAAAAGGAGCAGGGCAAGUCCACGCAGAAGUGGGCUGGGCAAGGAGGAUGUUUAGGAAUGGGUACUCAGGACUGCUGCAACAAGGAAAAGCAACGGUAUCUUUACAAAGGUGGGCAGCUAACCCUCAACAAGGUGAGAAACACUAAGAGACACUGGAUCUGCAGCCCAACAAAAACACAUUUGUUGAAAGGACAUUUUCCCCUCCAAAUUCUGAAAAUCAGGAACAUCUAUCACUCUCCUCUCCUGGUUCUACAUGCAAGGAGAUUGUGACUUCAUCCCAUUGCAAGAAAAGAAAUCUCAAGGUAGAUGUGAUGAACAAUUACCAUGCUAUAAUUAGGAAGUAAAUAGCAGUGUUUUUCCAUCCUUUUUUUCUGUUCUUCCAGUUCAGCUGUAUUAUGUGUCCCAAAGGGAAAGCUUGUGGUUGUGCUCAAAGAACACACAAUAAAAGUUCUUAGAGGAAAAGAACUUUUUGUCUUAUGUUUGCACAGUAUUUGUCACUAUAACAUCUUGUUGUCUGCAAUUUAGUUCAAGAGUAAGAGUAAGACAAGCAACUACAAAACUCUCCAAACAAAUAAUGAAAUGGUUGCAAUUCAAUGAAAUCAGAGAACUAUAUCAAAGACCAUUGAGUGAUAUCUAUUCUAUUAGAGUUUGCAAAAGGACUAUGUCUUCUAUGGCAACACUAUGUUUUACACUAACCAUAUAAAGCUGGGUUUCUGUAGCUUAAAGUACCUUCCAUACUUAAAAAAAAGUACAUUAAAAACUCAGGAAUCUGUGGUUCAUUUGUCAAUUUUCUAUAGGAAAGAAAGAUCAGCAAUUGUUAAAGGAUUUCUGGGUUUAGACAUGAAAAGUGGUCAAAGACUAUGUCUCCAUCAAUGGGGUUUGAUUUGCCAAUUCUUCUGUUAAAAAAAAUGUUUAACAGUUUUUAUUUCUAAAACCUCCUUUCUAUGUAUACAAAUGAUAAAUAUAUAUCCUGCAAAAUCAUGUUACUAUUUAGGGAAGCAGGCUCAUUUUCCAGUUAAUGUAGCUUUUGGUCACAUACAAACACACAAAGCACACGUGCAUCCCACAAAAAAAAAAAAAAAAAAAAAAAAAAAAAAAAAAAAAAAAAAGAC